ACCAUCUUUCCAAAGCAUUACAACAGCAGGAUUGUCUUCAAUAUGCAGGAUUUUGUUGCUUGGCAAAAGCUAGAUGUGAAAAUACCCUUGGUAAUUCAUGUGGGGAAGUUGAAACUCUAACCCAAGCUGCUAGGUUGUUUCUAAAUGCUGAAAAGGAGUCGCUUCGUCUCAAUUGA